CAACUUUCAGCAACGGAUCUCUUGGCUCUCGCAUCGAUGAAGAACGCAGCGAAAUGCGAUAAGUAAUGUGAAUUGCAGAAUUCAGUGAAUCAUCGAAUCUUUGAACGCACCUUGCGCUCCUUGGUAUUCCUUGGAGCAUGCCUGUUUGAGUGUCAUGG
rnacentral:rRNA from 1 species